CACCAGACUCCUACGGGAGGCAGCAGUGGGGAAUAUUGCACAAUGGGGGAAACCCUGAUGCAGCGACGCCGCGUGAGCGAUGAAGUAUUUCGGUAUGUAAAGCUCUAUCAGCAGGGAAGAAGAUGACGGUACCUGACUAAGAAGCCCCGGCUAACUACGUGCCAGCAGCCGCGGUAAUACGUAGGGGGCAAGCGUUAUCCGGAUUUACUGGGUGUAAAGGGAGCGUAGACGGCGAUGCAAGCCAGAUGUGAAAGCCCGGGGCUCAACCCCGGGACUGCAUUUGGAACUGUGUGGCUGGAGUGUCGGAGAGGCAGGCGGAAUUCCUAGUGUAGCGGUGAAAUGCGUAGAUAUUAGGAGGAACACCAGUGGCGAAGGCGGCCUGCUGGACGAUGACUGACGUUGAGGCUCGAAAGCGUGGGGAGCAAACAGGAUUAGAUACCCCUGUA
rnacentral:rRNA from 1 species